UACAGAGGUCUCAAGCGUUGUUCGGAUUCAUUGGGCGUAAAGGGUGCGUAGGCGGCGCGGUAAGUCGGGUGUGAAAUCUCGGGGCUUAACUCCGAAACUGCAUUCGAUACUGGCGUGCUUGAGGACUGGAGAGGAGACUGGAAUUCAUGGUGUAGCAGUGAAAUGCGUAGAGAUCAUGAGGAAGACCAGUGGCGAAGGCGGGUCUCUGGACAGGUCCUGACACUGAGACACGAAGGCCAGGGGAGCAAACGGG
rnacentral:rRNA from 1 species